UACGUAGGGCGCAAGCGUUGUCCGGAAUUAUUGGGCGUAAAGAGCUCGUAGGCGGCUUGUCACGUCGGGUGUGAAAGCCCGGGGCUUAACCCCGGGGUCUGCAUUCGAUACGGGGCUAGCUAGAGUGUGGUAGGGGGAGAUCGGAAUUCCUGGUGUAGCGGUGAAAAUGCGCAGAUAUCAGGAGGAACACCGGUGGCGAAAGGCGGAUCUCUGGGCCAUUACUGACGUGAGGAGCGAAAAGCGUGGGGGGAGCGAAACAGGG
rnacentral:rRNA from 1 species